CUUUUGAUAUGAUGUCCUUCUGUUUGCAUUUGGAAAGGAAGAUGAUGUUUGUCUGUAUCUGUAUGAGGUUUUUCAGGAAGUUGAUGGAUUUCCACUCCUUACAGCUAAAUGCAGGUGUUGUCUCGAAUGUACAAA